rnacentral:rRNA from 1 species
GACGAACGCUGGCGGCGUGCUUAACACAUGCAAGUCGAACGAUGAACCCGGAGCUUGCUCCGGUGGAUUAGUGGCGAACGGGUGAGUAACACGUGAGUAACCUGCCCUUGACUCUGGGAUAACUGCGGGAAACUGUAGCUAAUACCGGAUACGACCCUCGGCGGCAUCGCCAGGGGGUGGAAAGAAUUUCGGUCAAGGAUGGACUCGCGGCCUAUCCGCUAGUUGGUGCGGUAACGGCUCACCAAGGCGACGACGAGUAGCCGGCCUGAGAGGGCGGCCGGCCACACUGGGACUUGGACACGGCCCUGACUCCUACGGGAGGCAGCAGUGGGGAAUAUUGCACAUAGGGGGGAAGCCUGAUGCAGCGACGCCGCGUGAGGGAUGAAGGUCUUCGGAUUGUAAACCUCUUUUAGUAGGGAAGAAGCGAAAGUGACGGUACCUGCAGAAAAAGCACCGGCUAACUACGUGCCAGCAGCCGCCGUAA